GCCAGAAUGGUGUAGUGGUUUGAGUGUUGGACUAUGACUCUGGAGACCAGGGUUCGGUUCCCUGCUCAGCCA
rnacentral:tRNA from 1 species